UGGGGAAUCUUGGACAAUGGGGCAACCCUGAUCCAGCCAUGCCGCGUGAGUGAAGACGGCCUUAGGGUUGUAAACCGCUUUCAGCAGGGAAGAAACUGACGGUACCUGCAGAAGAAGAUGCGGCCAACUACGUGCCAGCAGCCGCGGUGACACGUAGGCAUCAAGCGUUAUCCGGAUUUAUUGGGCGUAAAGAGCUCGUAGGCGGUUCGGUAAGUCGGGUGUGAAAACUCUGGGCUCAACCCAGAGAGGCCACUCGAUACUGCUGUGACUAGAGUGCGGUAGGGGAGCGGGGAAUUCCUGGUGUAGCGGUGAAAUGCGCAGAUAUCAGGAGGAACACCAGUGGCGAAGGCGCCGCUCUGGGCCGUAACUGACGCUGAGGAGCGAAAAGCAUGGGUAGCAAACAGGAUUAGAUACCCUGGUAGUCCACGCCGUAAAACGAUGAGCACUCGGUGCCGCGGGUAUCGACCCCUGCGGUGCCUGAGCUAACGCAUUAAGUGCUCCGCCUGGGAGUACGGUCGCAAGGCUGAAACUCAAAU
rnacentral:rRNA from 1 species